rnacentral:tRNA from 1 species
GGUGUUGUGGUGCAGUGGUAGCACGUUACAUUGUGGCUUCGUUGCAACAAUGACUGUAAAGGUCCGCGGUUCGAUCCCGUGCAAUGCCA